rnacentral:rRNA from 1 species
UUAAGCGACUAAGCGUACACGGUGGAUGCCCUGGCAGUCAGAGGCGAUGAAGGACGUGCUAAUCUGCGAUAAGCGUCGGUGAGGUGAUAUGAACCGUUAUAACCGGCGAUUUCCGAAUGGGGAAACCCAGUGUGUUUCGACACACUAUCAUUAACUGAAUCCAUAGGUUAAUGAGGCGAACCGGGGGAACUGAAACAUCUAAGUACCCCGAGGAAAAGAAAUCAACCGAGAUUCCCCCAGUAGCGGCGAGCGAACGGGGAGGAGCCCAGAGCCUGAAUCAGUGUGUGUGUUAGUGGAAGCGUCUGGAAAGGCGCGCGAUACAGGGUGACAGCCCCGUACACAAAAAUGCACAUACUGUGAGCUCGAUGAGUAGGGCGGGACACGUGGUAUCCUGUCUGAAUAUGGGGGGACCAUCCUCCAAGGCUAAAUACUCCUGACUGACCGAUAGUGAACCAGUACCGUGAGGGAAAGGCGAAAAGAACCCCGGCGAGGGGAGUGAAAAAGAACCUGAAACCGUGUACGUACAAGCAGUGGGAGCCUCUUAAUGGGGUGACUGCGUACCUUUUGUAUAAUGGGUCAGCGACUUAUAUUCUGUAGCAAGGUUAACCGAAUAGGGGAGCCGAAGGGAAACCGAGUCUUAACUGGGCGUUAAGUUGCAGGGUAUAGACCCGAAACCCGGUGAUCUAGCCAUGGGCAGGUUGAAGGUUGGGUAACACUAACUGGAGGACCGAACCGACUAAUGUUGAAAAAUUAGCGGAUGACUUGUGGCUGGGGGUGAAAGGCCAAUCAAACCGGGAGAUAGCUGGUUCUCCCCGAAAGCUAUUUAGGUAGCGCCUCGUGAAUUCAUCUCCGGGGGUAGAGCACUGUUUCGGCAAGGGGGUCAUCCCGACUUACCAACCCGAUGCAAACUGCGAAUACCGGAGAAUGUUAUCACGGGAGACACACGGCGGGUGCUAACGUCCGUCGUGAAGAGGGAAACAACCCAGACCGCCAGCUAAGGUCCCAAAGUCAUGGUUAAGUGGGAAACGAUGUGGGAAGGCCCAGACAGCCAGGAUGUUGGCUUAGAAGCAGCCAUCAUUUAAAGAAAGCGUAAUAGCUCACUGGUCGAGUCGGCCUGCGCGGAAGAUGUAACGGGGCUAAACCAUGCACCGAAGCUGCGGCAGCGACACUAUGUGUUGUUGGGUAGGGGAGCGUUCUGUAAGCCUGUGAAGGUGUCCUGUGAGGUAUGCUGGAGGUAUCAGAAGUGCGAAUGCUGACAUAAGUAACGAUAAAGCGGGUGAAAAGCCCGCUCGCCGGAAGACCAAGGGUUCCUGUCCAACGUUAAUCGGGGCAGGGUGAGUCGACCCCUAAGGCGAGGCCGAAAGGCGUAGUCGAUGGGAAACAGGUUAAUAUUCCUGUACUUGGUGUUACUGCGAAGGGGGGACGGAGAAGGCUAUGUUGGCCGGGCGACGGUUGUCCCGGUUUAAGCGUGUAGGCUGGUUUUCCAGGCAAAUCCGGAAAAUCAAGGCUGAGGCGUGAUGACGAGGCACUACGGUGCUGAAGCGACAAAUGCCCUGCUUCCAGGAAAAGCCUCUAAGCAUCAGGUAACAUCAAAUCGUACCCCAAACCGACACAGGUGGUCAGGUAGAGAAUACCAAGGCGCUUGAGAGAACUCGGGUGAAGGAACUAGGCAAAAUGGUGCCGUAACUUCGGGAGAAGGCACGCUGAUAUGUAGGUGAAGCGACUUGCUCGUGGAGCUGAAAUCAGUCGAAGAUACCAGCUGGCUGCAACUGUUUAUUAAAAACACAGCACUGUGCAAACACGAAAGUGGACGUAUACGGUGUGACGCCUGCCCGGUGCCGGAAGGUUAAUUGAUGGGGUUAGCGGUAACGCGAAGCUCUUGAUCGAAGCCCCGGUAAACGGCGGCCGUAACUAUAACGGUCCUAAGGUAGCGAAAUUCCUUGUCGGGUAAGUUCCGACCUGCACGAAUGGCGUAAUGAUGGCCAGGCUGUCUCCACCCGAGACUCAGUGAAAUUGAACUCGCUGUGAAGAUGCAGUGUACCCGCGGCAAGACGGAAAGACCCCGUGAACCUUUACUAUAGCUUGACACUGAACAUUGAGCCUUGAUGUGUAGGAUAGGUGGGAGGCUUUGAAGUGUGGACGCCAGUCUGCAUGGAGCCGACCUUGAAAUACCACCCUUUAAUGUUUGAUGUUCUAACGUGGGCCCCUUACCGGGGUUGCGGACAGUGUCUGGUGGGUAGUUUGACUGGGGCGGUCUCCUCCUAAAGAGUAACGGAGGAGCACGAAGGUUGGCUAAUCCUGGUCGGACAUCAGGAGGUUAGUGCAAUGGCAUAAGCCAGCUUGACUGCGAGCGUGACGGCGCGAGCAGGUGCGAAAGCAGGUCAUAGUGAUCCGGUGGUUCUGAAUGGAAGGGCCAUCGCUCAACGGAUAAAAGGUACUCCGGGGAUAACAGGCUGAUACCGCCCAAGAGUUCAUAUCGACGGCGGUGUUUGGCACCUCGAUGUCGGCUCAUCACAUCCUGGGGCUGAAGUAGGUCCCAAGGGUAUGGCUGUUCGCCAUUUAAAGUGGUACGCGAGCUGGGUUUAGAACGUCGUGAGACAGUUCGGUCCCUAUCUGCCGUGGGCGCUGGAGAACUGAGGGGGGCUGCUCCUAGUACGAGAGGACCGGAGUGGACGCAUCACUGGUGUUCGGGUUGUCAUGCCAAUGGCACUGCCCGGUAGCUAAAUGCGGAAGAGAUAAGUGCUGAAAGCAUCUAAGCACGAAACUUGCCCCGAGAUGAGUUCUCCCUGACUCCUUGAGAGUCCUGAAGGAACGUUGAAGACGACGACGUUGAUAGGCCGGGUGUGUAAGCGCAGCGAUGCGUUGAGCUAACCGGUACUAAUGAACCGUGAGGCUUAACCUU